GAUGAACGCUGGCGGCGUGCCUAACACAUGCAAGUCGAACGUUAUCCCGAUUUCGGUUGGGAGAAAGUGGCGAACGGGUGAGUAACACGUUGGUGACCUGCCCCGCAGCGGGGGGGAUAACUACUGGAAACGGUGGCUAAUACCCCGUAUGCUCACGGCGGUUAGAGGCGUUGUGAGGAAAGCCUUGGCACUGAGGGAGGGGGCUGUGGCCCAUCAGCUAGUUGGUGAGGUAAAGGCUCACCAAGGCGAUGACGGGUAGGGGGCCUGAGAGGGUGACCCCCCACACGGGCACUGAGACACGGGCCCGACUCCUACGGGAGGCAGCAGUAAGGGAUAUUGCAACAAGGGGCGGAAGCCUGAUGCAGCAACGCCGCGUGCGGGAUGACGGCCUUCGGGUUGUAAACCGCUUUUCGGGGAGAAGAGGAAGGACGGUAUCCCCGGAAGAAGUCUCGGCUAACUACGUGCCAGCAGCCGCGGUAAAAC
rnacentral:rRNA from 1 species